rnacentral:rRNA from 1 species
GACGAACGCUGGCGGCGUGCCUAAUACAUGCAAGUAGAACGCUGAAGGAGGAGCUUGCUUCUCUGGAUGAGUUGCGAACGGGUGAGUAACGCGUAGGUAACCUGCCUGGUAGCGGGGGAUAACUAUUGGAAACGAUAGCUAAUACCGCAUAAUAGUAGAUGUUGCAUGACAUUUGCCUAAAAGGUGCAAUUGCAUCACUACCAGAUGGACCUGCGUUGUAUUAGCUAGUUGGUGGGGUAACGGCUCACCAAGGCGACGAUACAUAGCCGACCUGAGAGGGUGAUCGGCCACACUGGGACUGAGACACGGCCCAGACUCCUACGGGAGGCAGCAGUAGGGAAUCUUCGGCAAUGGACGGAAGUCUGACCGAGCAACGCCGCGUGAGUGAAGAAGGUUUUCGGAUCGUAAAGCUCGGUUGUAAGAGAAGAACGAGUGUGAGAGUGGAAAGUUCACACUGUGACGGUAGCUUACCAGAAAGGGACGGCUAACUACGUG